CCCCAUCCAGACUCUGGUGCUCCAGCACCCUAUCCAGACUAACAAAAAGCUAGUGCAAGGCUAACUUAUAAGAAAGUUUGUGCGGACAGAUGAUGCUAUCAGAGGCAGCACUGGCAGUGGCAAAAAAGUGUGGCUGGAUCCAAUAAUCAGAGAUGGGGCCACAUAUGUACAUGUACAGUGAACGUGAACAGAGGAACAGUGGCAGUAGCAGCGAGGUAAAAGUGUCUGUGUCUGUGGCUACUGCUGUCCGUGAGUACUUCCGUGAGUACUUGCUGUCACUGCCCAGUGCCCCUUCACCUCUGUCAAGAGUGGAAUACAUGGAAGGUUGACGUUCGUGGUAGGACUGUCACAACAGUGGUGGUCAGCAGUAUUCGAAUUCCUCAGUGUCAUGUCCUGUCCAGAUCUACAUUUUUGCUAAUAAUUAUUGUUGUAAUUAUUGUUGUUAGUCCAUGCAUUGAGUGAAGCUAUUUUAUUUGUUGGUUGGAGUAAUGUAACUCCUCUCUAAACUGUUAUUGAUCAGAAAAUUCAUCAUCACUGCCCUCCAUGACUGGCACGUCUCUGUCUAUUUUGCUGUACUCAGCUGUUAGAUCUUCUAUGUCAAUCUCUGCAGGUCCCCAUUGUCCAGAAUUUCUUGCAGCACCUCCUCACUGGUCUAGAGUUCUAUAUAAUUUUUGAAAGUGUUUGUUUAUGCCAAUAAUUUAGCUGCAUAUUCAAGCAGGUAUUGCAAAAACAUAGUAUGAGUUUUUGACUGCAUAUAUACUUACCUGAGUGACGCCAAUAGGCGUUAUUGGCGGUUAAGAGAUAUCCAUUUGGGACUUAUGCCCACCCAAUACUUAUGCCCACCCACUACUUAUGCCCACCCUAUAACUCAUUUGGUCCCUUUUAUAGGUACUAGUGGGAACAUGGAAUUCAGCAAAACUAAUGAAUACUAAUGAAUAUGAAUACUAAUGAAUACACUAAAUUCCUUCAAAACACAUGUACACAUGUCAACGUCAUUGGGUAACAAGUUAGUUAUUGCAGGCGCCCUCGUGCACUCGUGCAUCGUGCAACAUGCCUAUUGCUCCAGUGCAAUAUAUGGCUAAUACUUAAUGGUGUUUUGCAAAAAAAGCUGCCUUAACCUUACCUGAGUAGUACGAGGUCCAGCACGUUGCUGUCUUUUUGACAUGCUGAUCAAGCGCACAGUUUUUUUAUAAUUUCACACAUGGAUUGAUAUCGGGCACCAGUGUCGUUAAGGUUAUUGGGAUAUAUUGGUAUAUGUGAAUAUAUCUUUUGGAACUUUGCAAUAAUGUAGUCUUAUAAUGAAGGAACAUGUUGAACGUGUUUUUAAAGUCAUGUGACUUUCAGGACUUUCAGGGGUGGAGCUACAGUGAAAUAUACAACUUUACAAUUUCUGGAAUACAUACAAGUGCAGCCACACCGCCAAAUUUUUUAUAAAGUGCAACUCGCAACUCAGUUUUACCAUUUUUAUGGCGCCCGGAUAUGAUGUCCACCAACCAGACGGAUCAAUAAAGUCCAGCCCUCGGCGACCCAUGUUUUCUUUGUUCACAUUAGGAGGCCAUACCUAAUCCGUUCCCCCUCCCAACGUUUCGUGCCAGUACACAGUACUGAACAUAAUUUGUCUCUCAAGAAGUUGCUAGAUGCAGACAGGAAAUAUAUGGUACAGACGUUAACGACAAUGUUAAUGACGUAUGACCAAAAGCCUUCAUGCUUAAUCGUUGCAAAAUCAUUGGUACACAAACAUGAUUUUCUUAAAGACAGAUGGAAAUACUAGGGGCAUGUAUAGAUUAGGAGUCUAAAUAUUACAAAAAUUCAUGUGCAGAACUCUUGGAAGUGGUUCAAUCGGAAAGUAUCAGAGCAACCUACAUGUAGUCCGGCCAAAAAACCGAAGAAAAACCCCAGAGUAGAGAAGCAUCAGUAUCCUAUUAUCCCCGAUGAUGAAACAUCUGUUGAACGAAAUGUCAAGAAGAAACAGAAAAAGCUGGAAAACAGAAUUACCAGCAGUUGAAGGAGCUAAUGGCUCGUACACUACUGACGCGUACUGAAUGGAUCAGAACUGAGUGUCCUCCCCUUAAAACAAUUUUGGAACAAUAAUUAUCCUCUUCUAAAAAGGUUGAUCAAGAAUUCAGUCUGAUAUCCCAGAAGGAUGAGCUUAGAGAUAAUUUCGAAGAAUGUUUGUUAAAGUGGGCUCCCAUUCAAGUCGCUGUAGAUGACGAUCCAGCAGGUGUGUAUUUAUAAUGUA